AAUCCGUCGACGUUAAAAGUCGUGAGGGUKCAAGUCCCUCUAUCCCCA
rnacentral:tRNA from 1 species